rnacentral:rRNA from 1 species
UACGUAGGGUGCGAGCGUUGUCCGGAUUUAUUGGGCGUAAAGAGCUCGUAGGCGGCUUGUCGCGUCGGAUGUGAAAGCCCGGGGCUUAACUCCGGGUCUGCAUUCGAUACGGGCAGGCUAGAGUGUGGUAGGGGAGAUCGAAUUCCUGGUGUAGCGGUGAAAUGCGCAGAUAUCAGGAGGAACACCGGUGGCGAAGGCGGAUCUCUGGGCCAUUACUGACGCUGAGGAGCGAAAAGCGUGGGGAGCAAACAG